AGACACGAACAUACGAAUGAAUAUCAUAUGCGAUGACGCCAG
rnacentral:rRNA from 1 species